CAGCCGCCGCGGUAAUACGUAGGGUGCGAGCGUUCAUCGGAUUUACUGGGCGUAAAGCGUGCGCAGGCGGCCCGUUAAGACAGGUGUGAAAUCCCUGGGCUCAACCUAGGAAUUGCGCUUGUGACUGGCGGGCUCGAGUACGGUAGAGGGGGGUGGAAUUCCUGGUGUAGCAGUGAAAUGCGUAGAGAUCAGGAGGAACACCGAUGGCGAAGGCAGCCCCCUGGGCCUGUACUGACGCUCAUGCACGAAAGCGUGGGGAGCAAACAGGAUUAGAUACCCUGGUAGUCAACGCCCUAAACGAUGGGUACUAGCCGUUUGGUGCGCGAGAGCGCUGAGUGGCGAAGCUAACGCGAGAAGUACCCCGCCUGGGGAGUACGGCCGCAAGGUUGAAACUUAAAGGAAUUGGCGGG
rnacentral:rRNA from 1 species